rnacentral:misc_RNA from 1 species
CUCUGCUUCCUUGCAACAGCACAAGCUAGUGGUGCAGUCUGGGAUGGUAAUGGAGGGCGCGUGAUUUUGAAGCUUGCAAGAUGCUUUCCCAAGAGUCAGCAGAGAAAGAACAAGAGUCCAGGCCACCUGCUGAGGAUAGCAAGAUGCCAGCAGCUCCAGGUAGUGCCGACGCUGGCCUUGACAGCGUAUUAGCAGAUGCAGCCAAUCCUGACGUUCCAGCAGUUGAACUCUGUGCAGUCAGCAUUGAUGUGCCGGACAGUGUUGAGACAGUUGUUGUGAACACUUCAAAUGGCACGCCUGGAGCCUCUCUCAGUGAUACCACUCUGCCUGAUGCUGUUGUAAGUUCUGUGCUGGAAAGUGAUUCUGCUGCUGGGACACUUGACGAUGCAUCAGGCCUUCCAGAUGCUGCCGCUGCAGCUGCACUCUCAUCUGUUGUUGACAGUGAGCCUGCUGCCAUUGAAACUGUGGUCUCUACGGAGGCUUUGCCUGAUGUCACGGUGCCAUCAACGUCUGGUGUCUCAUCUGUAUCCACAUCAUCAAGUGUGUCUGACCGCUGUGAUGCGCGCAUAGUCCGCUUCAACAACCGUGACCUAGAAAGCCUGCGUAAAAUCCAGGAUGAGCUGAACACACGCAAAUCUGGUGGAGUGCCACGCAGUCCAGGCAGCCCCAUUGUGAUCAGAGCAGAGCUGACAAGUCCGCACAAAGGGGUGUCAGCACAGGCACCCCAAGUUCUUGUGGUGCAGAAACCUUCACCAGGGUGCUCCCCCAAGAAGGCUGACAUCCGGGUCAUCCAUCCCCCAGGCCUCACUGUGCGCAGGCAGCUACAGAUGAGUGUGCCAGCAGCCUCAGGUGGAGGCACCACCUCUGCGGGCCUGACCAAGGUGAUCCUGCAGCCAGCAGGGCAGCUUAUGAGUGGUGCCACCUUCCAGUUUGUGGGUGCCAUGGCAGGCGCUGGCGGCCAAGCAGCCCAGCCCACUCUGGUGCUUUCCAGUCCUACUCGUGCGACUCCUGUUCGUACAGCCACGGGGCAGCAACUGGUGCGUGUGGCUGCUCCAGGCACCACUUCUGUCUCAGCACCUAAGGGCAUGUAUGUGGUAUCUCCAAUGAAGCUCGGAGGGAAAGUUGCCAUGAUUCCCAUCAAUGUCGGCAAGUCGCCCCAGAGGAUUGCCCCUGCCCCCACAACAUCCUCAAUGGUCACAGGCCUCGGUGUGGGGGCCAGUCGAGUGACACUUGCUGCAAGCUCCACAAGCACUGCCACCACACCUACAGUCCGGCCAGCAGCACCCGCAACUACUAUCGUGCCUGUGCCAGGCAAAGUAAAUGUUCUCCUCAAGCCCUCGAUUGGUCAAGCUGUAGCUGUGUCAAGGGCUGGCACAGUGGCUGCUGUUGUUCAGACGUCGAGCCCAAGUGGUACAGUAGCAACAAGCGGCACCAGUAGUUUUGUGACAUCUGUGAGCAGCAGUUCGGCAGCCGUGCAAGUUCCAGGCAGCAAGUUUCACUAUGUGCGCUUGGUCAGUGCUCCUGCACCAAGCACACAAGCCAGUACAGUCCUCGGUGCAGCCAAGCCACCAACCCUUGUGCCUGUAACCUCAGCAAGGCCUCUUGUGCCAGCAGUACCUGUGACCGUAGCAUCAAGCACUGCCAGUGCAACUUUGCCUCCUGGUGUGCGGUUGACAGUGCCCAUUGCCCCAGCUAUUUCAGCCCAGCAGGGAUCAUCGACAGGUGUGACAGUGACCACCUCACAGCGAGUACUGAUCCCUGCAUCUGCUACAUCAGUGCGCCCAUCAAUGCCAACCGGACAGCUGAGUAGCCUGUCGACAGCAGCACUCAUUUCCACUGGGGGAACAUCCAUGCAAAAUGCUUUUGUGGUGGUGCCUGCCCAGUAUGUGGCCCAGGAGCUGGUUUACUGGCCACUGCUUGAGCAGAGGAGCGAGAUACAGGAGCACCCAUGUACUGCUUGCAGUUCCAGCAGGGCACGCAGCCGUCAGCAUCCCCUUCAGCAGGCACAUCACGGGUGGUGUUUCAGACGGGGACUGGCCUCCUGGGCAGCUCAGGAGGCUUUGUACCCAUUGCAGCCGCCACUGCACCUACCACAACCAGUGUCUCCACGGGGCCUGACCACAGAGAACCACCAGCAGCAGCAGUGCCUCCCGCUAAAGCUCAAGUCAACGGGACGUCAUGCGAAGACAAUUCACGGCCCCGAAAGCCCUGCAACUGUACCAAGUCCCAGUGCCUCAAAUUGUAUUGUGACUGUUUUGCCAAUGGAGAGUUUUGUCAUAGCUGCAACUGCAAUAACUGUUUCAAUAACCUGGAGCAUGAAGAGGAACGUCAAAAGGCUAUUGGAGCCUGUCUAGAAAGGAAUCCCAAUGCAUUUCGUCCAAAAAUUGGCAAAGGCAAAGAAGGAGACCAUGAGCGACGUCAUACCAAAGGCUGUAACUGCAAACGAUCUGGCUGCCUAAAGAACUACUGUGAAUGCUAUGAGGCCAAAAUCCUUUGCAGCAGUAUGUGUAAAUGUGUUGGCUGCAAGAACUUUGAAGACAGCUCGGAGCGCAAGACAUUGAUGCAGUUGGCAGAUGC